rnacentral:lncRNA from 1 species
UUUUUUUUUCCCCUUUUUUUAUGCUCUGUGUGUGUGUGUGUGUCAAGAUUUUAGAUGUGAAUCCUUCAAAGUUGUCAGACUACGUUUCCCUCCAGCUGGUUUGGAGCUGAUUUUCCAACUUCUUUUACAAGGAGAAGGGCAGGAUGUUUUUAACAGAAUGUGACCUCACUGGAAUACUAGAGAAAGCAAUAACAUUUCUGAAUGGGGCAGUGUGGAGAAAUCCUAAGAGAAAUAGCAUAAGAGCAUUUUGGAAUAUAUCCCGGAAAAGAUAACUUUCUACACAUCUGUAGACAUUUGCCAGGUUAAGUUAGCACUCCUUGCUGUGAUUCAGCUCUCUGGAUCCUACCUUUCUUCCUGACUAUGGAAGGCAAAAAAUUCAGAUUUGGCUUCUGAGAUGGCUCUGUGAAUUUUGUUGAAUUUCAGCAGGCGAGGGGGUGGCCAAGUGAGCAAGACCUGGUAGGCCACUUAAAGAUUAUUUUGUUUUUAUUCACACAGCAAUAGGAGGACCCUGAAGGAUUUAAGUCUAGGGCUAAAAUGAUCUGAAAGGAAAGAGUGGGAGCCUAGAACAACUGGACAGG